UUCAAAUAGGCAUCUUUCACUUUGCAAAUUUAACAAUUAUUUAUAAUUGUUAUAGUUACAUUUUUCUGAUUCAAUUAUUUUAACCUUAUUUAUGGUGAAUUAAAACAUGCAUGUAGGAAAAAUGCAUAAAGCAUAAAUGUAACUCACUGUAAAAUAGAGCUUUCGAGGGCUUCUGCAUCCUUAUUUAACUUGAUCUUCUCAACAGCUGUGUGAGGAAGGCAAGGUAGCCUGCAGUCUCAUCGCUCACAGUUCAUGAGGAAGGGAAUAGGGCAGAUGACGUUCUCAAGAUUCAAAGCCAGUGGUGGGUCCAGAAUUUCAACCCAUGCCUUCUGCCCCCAGAGCCCAUGGUGACUUAGCCAGUGCUGCCUCUCUCAGAGACUAUAGAAAUCCUGUGAAAUCUGGCAGAGGCCGAAAGAGGUGAGUGUAACGUUCUGAAAAAUUAUUGGCAAGUAAAAAUGAACAGAAAGGAGUAGUAGUCGCUGUAGAUAUUUAACAUAAGAUAUCCUGAGCACUAUGGCAUAAGUGCAGCAUGAAUUACCACUUGAAAUAAACAGUGUCUACUGAGAGGAACGUGCAAAACCACUCUGGUAGAUUUAAGAUUUUACUAUAAAUGAAAUAAAGGGGGGAAAAAAGGACACAUCUUUGGCAACCCUUCCUCCUUGUCACUAUUUUUGGUUCCCCGUCUGAAGAAAGUUUUAAAGAUUUCCUUGUAAGGACAAGAGAAAAAAAUCAUGCUGUGACCUCGCGACCUUAGUAGAAGCAACCACUGGCGAAUAUUCAUCUUCUCCAGGGCUUGGAAAGAAUUGGGGGCAGACUGUGAAAUCUUCCCACCUACCCGCGAAGGGCAUAAACUGAUGAAAUCGGUUCAACAUUCUCAAAAAGUGGUCUCUGGGAAUCAUUAACCUCCCAUUUCAGAUAUGGAAUGCCCCUGGGGGUUUGAAUCAAGGGUGCACCUUAGGAAUGAGCAGCUGUUUCUUCCUUAAGUAGGCAUUGGAUCCGAGCCCUUGUAAGAGAUGUUUGGUAAUAUGUAUUUUGUCCUCAUAAACUCUUUCAUUUAUGGAAUUUCUUCUAGAUGGUGGAAAGAAGAGAAGCAGUAAAGCGAAUGUCUCGCUCCCAUGUAUUUGGAGAUUAGUUACAAUUGUGUGAACAAGUUGCUGAGCAAUAAGGAAGAAAGAGUAAUUCUUCUCUCACAAAGGAAUGCUGAGCCAUCCCAGCUCAUUUAUUUAUUAAACACACACUUAAAUAAUGUUUAUUGAAUGCCAGAACAAAGAAGAUACAUUAAACACACCUCGGAUACAUUUUCAUCAAAAUUUCAGAGAUAUUCAGUUGCAAAUGAGCAGGUGAACAUGACCGUGAUGUCAGCUUGGAUAAUCAAGACAACCAUUUUUUAAAUUUCUCCUCAUCCAUGCAUUCCCCAACCAGUCCACCCAGAAUUCCAUCCUCACCACUUCACUGAAACAGCUCUCAGUUGCCCAAGCCAAUGGACAUGUUUCAGAUCCUGAGAAUACAAGACAAACGAUCAGCACUAAGCUUGAAGAACUUGUCAACUCCUGGGAAAGAGACGCAGGGGUUUAUAGGAAAUACAAGGGAUGGAAGAGCUGGUUAAACAAUACCAUGAAGAAGCCAGCAGAGGAAUCCAGAAUGUGGAACCUUCUACAAUAUACCUGAUCCAUCUUGUCAACAAGUCAAUGGCAUGAGGAAAAAAUGGCAUCUGUGUGUCGAUGGGAGAGAAACUGUUGAUGAUGAUUAGAGUCUAAGGGUACAGAACAAACCAAUGCAACCUGUGGAACAUUUUUGGAUCCUGAUUAAAACGAACCAACUGCAAACAUUGGGGGGAUGGUUGCGGGGAAAUUAGAAUAUUGGAUGAUAUUAAGGAAUUGCUACAUUUUCUUAAGUGUGAUAUUAGCAUAGCUGUUACGCAGAAAACUGAGUUUAAUUUUUAGAAAGAUAUGCUGGACUAUUUAGGGAAUAAAUAGCCUUUAAAAUACUUCAGCAGGUUUCUGUGUAGACAAAGUAUCAAUAAAUUCCCUUCAUGAUUCAGUCAGUUUGAACUGAGUUUUCUUGACAGUAUGUUUCAAUUUUCUACUGGAAAGGGAAAAAAUGAAGAUUGAGGAGAGAAGAGGGAGAGGGGAGAAUUUCUAGAGCACUGUCCCAGAGGAGGCAAGAAGAAUUAGGAUCCAGUGCAGGGCUAGCUGCUCAGAGGGACCCACGGCCCCACACCAGCCUACAAAUUGUUACUGACCCCUAACAAGAUAAGUACAGAAGUUGAGAGUACACUUUUUGAAACUUUUAUAACAAUUUGACAGAGUAAUUUUAUGCCCAUUGAAUCUAAUAAUUAAAAAAGUGGGGCUUAUAAAAAAUGAGUUUUCUGUUACUUAAAACAGAAAGAUUCAUAACUGACGUGAUGUUUGUUAUUGUACCGUGACUGUUUCUAGGGUCUUAC